rnacentral:rRNA from 1 species
GGCAAUCACGGCGGGAGACAGUGUCAGGUGGGCAGUUUGACUGGGGCGGUCGCCUCCUAAAAGGGAACGGAGGCGCCCAAAGGGUCCUUCAGAAUGGGUGGAAAUCAUUCGCAGAGUGUAAAGGCAUAAAGGAGCUUGACUGCGAGACCUACAAGUCGAGCAGGGACGAAAGUCGGGCUUAGUGAUCCGGGGGUUCCGUAUGGAAGGGCCAUCGCUCAACGGAUA